GUUCAGUGACUCUGACCUGCAGCAGUGAUGCAAACCCACCUGUGAAGAUCUACACCUGGUUUAAAGAAGGUGGAACCUCACCUCUAGGAUCUGGACAAAAUUAUAGCAUCACCUAUGUCUCUUCUGAAGACACUGGACUGUACUACUGUGAAGCUCAGAAUGAACAUGGAGCACAGAGCUCAGCUAGAUUGGCAGUCUCUUUGAAACACCACCCCGUGGUUCCAUAUGUAGCUGUUGGAGUUGGACUUUGUAUUGUUGCUCUUUUUCUCACUGUAGUUUUAUGGAGGAGGAGAAAGAGGCAGGAUGGAAAUACGGGCCAGCCGAACAAUCCAAAUGUGAACCAAACAGGCCGUAACAUCGGUCUUCCUAGUGAUGACACACCCAGUGUUCCUGAGAACACAUCUGAAGCUACUUUGAUGAACCCACAAUGACAAUAAGUAUGAAACCAAAACCCAGAACUGCACCAACAAGCCAAUGGACAACCACAGCUGAGAGAGAGAGAGAAAAAAAAUAUUUUUAAGCUCAAAGCACUUUCUUGAUCUUUUUGUAAUUUUUUUGUAUUAUUUUUACCUUUUAAACAUGUGCUUGCAUUUUUAAUCCCAAGGAUCUGAUAUGGACAUAUUUGGACAUAUCACCUUUUGUUUCCACUCUUAAAUAUUAAGAUGCUGAAGGAAGGGUCUCUUUGGAACGAUGCCAAAGAAGAACCAACACCAAAAGUGUUUCUUUCAUUGCACCAGUCCAAAGAACCCAUUCUGGCACCUGUUUUGAAAAUGUAUGAUGUACACAAUCCUAAAGGCUUAUUUAUAAUAUGGUCCGACAUCAAGCCUUGUGAAGCUGUCUAAGGCCAAAGUUCUACAUUUGCAGAUGUUUAUGUAAUAAAAGCUGCAUUACAAUA